rnacentral:rRNA from 1 species
AGAACGAACGCUGGCGGCAUGCCUAACACAUGCAAGUCGAACGCUCUCUUCGGAGGGAGUGGCGCACGGGUGAGUAACGCGUGGGAACCUGCCUUGGAGUGGGGGAUAACCGAUGGAAACGUCGGCUAAUACCGCAUACGUCCUGAGGGAGAAAGAUUUAUCGCUCUGAGAGGGGCCCGCGUCGGAUUAGCUAGUUGGUGGGGUAACGGCCUACCAAGGCGAUGAUCCGUAGCUGGUCUGAGAGGAUGAUCAGCCACACUGGGACUGAGACACGGCCCAGACUCCUACGGGAGGCAGCAGUGGGGAAUAUUGGACAAUGGGCGCAAGCCUGAUCCAGCAAUGCCGCGUGAGUGAUGACGGCCUUAGGGUUGUAAAGCUCUUUCGGCGGGGACGAUGAUGACGGUACCGCAGAAGAAGCCCCGGCUAACUCGCGCCAGCAGCCGC